UCCAGCCCAGGCAGAAGCUACAGGCACAAAGCUGAAUGCUGUUGCUGUCUUGCACCUGAAUUUGAACAUGCAUUUGGGUAAUGGUGCUGAAAAUCUAGCUGCUGCUUACUGCCUGCACAGCUCCUACACUGUGACUUCUUACCACUCAGAGCAACAGAGAGGACAAAAAAUAGCCUGACGGAGCCGGCAGGCUGGCCUCUUCACAUCCAGCUCACAGAGGACAGAGAAAAAACACCUGGUUUUGCCUCAGGGGCAGUGCUUCUGUCUCCUGGAGUUCAUCCCAUGAUUUUUGGCACGGUGGGGUUGGCAAUACUAUCUACCCCAAUUUCAUAGCUACCUAUUGCAGCAGAAGAUGUGGGAAUCCUUGAAAAACUGCUGUUAUGCCCAAUAUGAGCUUUGGAAAGACCAAAAGAGACAGAAGAAAAGAAAGCAAAGGCCAAGCUGUGAGCAGGCUCCCCAUAUGUUACCUGGGCACAGCUACUGCCUACCAGGGCAUCCUUGCAGGCUGAGCUCUGGGAGCAGGCAAAGAGGUUUGGGUAAUGUUUCCAUAAUAACAACCCAAAUGAUUACCAUGUGCUACCAGGGAGUUCUUACAGACUGGAAAUUGUACUGUGUGCUUUUGAAUGUCCUUUUGAAGGGAGCUGCCCUUGUCCCUAUCUGCAGGACACAUCUCAGCUGCCUUUUAUCCCUUGUCUUUCUUUCCCACGCACAGAGUAGGCUCUUGGGGAUGUCACCACUGCAGCUUCAGAGAGGGAAGAGGGAAAUGCCCUCUCCUAGCGAUAGUUAGGUCUUAAUAGCUCAGUCCCAAUUAUGGAAGGAAAAUAACACCAUCUGACCUUCCUGAACAGGCACCAUGGUAAUUACAGAGUACAUUGCUACUGACCCACAAAAACCACGGGGUAACCCCCAGGAGUCACUUAGGCCCAGCCUGUCUCCUCUUUUGGCUGCACUAAUGACCCCUUCCAUGACCACAAGAUGGUCUGUGCAGAGAAAGGGGGAGUAAACAAACCCUACUUUGCCAAUCAAGCAAGGUCUCCAUCCCACUUGCUUAGGCAGUCUCCUCUUACUUAUCAGUCAUGUCUGUAGCCACAACUCUUUCAGAUCCCUCAGCUCCUGUCUCUCCU